GGGCAUGUGGUGUAGUUGGUUUAUCACGCUCGCUUAGCAUGCGAGAGGGGUCCGGUUCGAUCCCGGACAUGUCCA
rnacentral:tRNA from 1 species